UACGAGGACGAACGCUGGCGGCGUGUCUAACACAUGCAAGUCGAGCGGGGACAUACGACGGAGUCAAAGUUUCGGAUGAAGACGAAGAUGUAUGUUCUAGCGGCGGACGGGUGAGUAACGCGUGAGCAACCUGUCCCUUACAGGGGAUAACACAGCGAAAGUUGUACUAAUACCGCAUAAGACCACGGAAGGACAUCUUCAGGGUCAAAGGAGCAAUCCGGUAAGGGGUGGCUCGCGUCCGAUUUAGAUAGUUGGUGAGGUAACGGCCCACCAAGUCGACGAUCGGUAGCCGACCUGAGAGGGUGAUCGGCCACAUUGGGACUGAGACACGGCCCAAACUCCUACGGGAGGCAGCAGUGGGGAAUAUUGGGCAAUGGGGGGAAACCCCCUGACCCAGCAACGCCGCGUGAGGGAAGAAGGUUUUCGGAUCGUAAACCUCUGUCCUUGGUGAAGAGGAAGAGACGGUAGCCAAGGAGGAAGCCCCGGCUAACUACGUGCCAGCAGCAGC
rnacentral:rRNA from 1 species